rnacentral:rRNA from 1 species
AGAGAGAGCUUGCUUUCUCGAGCGAGUGGCGAACGGGUGAGUAACGCGUGAGGAACCUGCCUCAAAGAGGGGGACAACAGUUGGAAACGACUGCUAAUACCGCAUAAGCCCACGGGUCGGCAUCGACCAGAGGGAAAAGGAGCAAUCCGCUUUGAGAUGGCCUCGCGUCCGAUUAGCUAGUUGGUGAGGUAACGGCCCACCAAGGCGACGAUCGGUAGCCGGACUGAGAGGUUGAACGGCCACAUUGGGACUGAGACACGGCCCAGACUCCUACGGGAGGCAGCAGUGGGGAAUAUUGCACAAUGGGGGAAACCCUGAUGCAGCGACGCCGCGUGGAGGAAGAAGGUCUUCGGAUUGUAAACUCCUGUUGUUGGGGAAGAUAAUGACGGUACCCAACAAGGAAGUGACGGCUAACUACGUGCCAGCAGCCGCGGUAAAAACGUAGGUCACAAGCGUUGUCCGGAAUUACUGGGUGUCAAGGGAGCGCAUGCGGGAAGACAAGUUGGAAGUGAAAUCUAUGGGCUC